rnacentral:rRNA from 1 species
UACGAGGGGUCCAAGCGUUGUUCGGAAUCACUGGGCGUAAAGCGGGUGUAGGUGGCUAGGCAAGUUGGAUGUGAAAGCCCCGGGCUCAACCCGGGAAGUGCAUCCAAAACUACUUAGCUUGAGUAAGGAAGAGGAUGGGAGAAUUCUUGGUGUAGUGGUGAAAUACGUAGAUAUCAAGAGGAACACCGGUGGCGAAGGCGCCUAUCUGGUCCAUUACUGACACUCAGACCCGAAAGCGUGGGUAGCAAACAGG